rnacentral:rRNA from 1 species
UACGUAGGGUGCGAGCGUUAAUCGGAAUUACUGGGCGUAAAGCGUGCGCAGGCGGUUACAUAAGGCAGAUGUGAAAUCCCCGGGCUCAACCUGGGAACUGCGUUUGUGACUGUGUGACUAGAGUACGGCAGAGGGGGGUGGAAUUCCUGGUGUAGCAGUGAAAUGCGUAGAUAUCAGGAGGAACAUCGAUGGCGAAGGCAGCCCCCUGGGCCUGUACUGACGCUCAUGCACGAAAGCGUGGGGAGCAAACAGG